AUUGCUUCUCGGUCUUUUGGCUAAGAUCAAGUGUAGUAUCUGUUCUUACCAUCCCACGGAUGCUACAUUAACCUUCCUCUUUUUCUCGGACCACAUCAUGCUUUCGUGCACUCUUUCACUCCCUUCGGGGGUGACUGUAGGUAAGGGUCUGUGGAAAUUGAAUUGCUCUCUUCUACAGGACAAGGAUAU